GCUACGGGUGGCAGCAGUGAGGAAUAUUGGUCAAUGGGCGCGAGCCUGAACCAGCCAAGUAGCGUGAAGGAUGACUGCCCUACGGGUUGUAAACUUCGUUUAUAAAGGAAUAAAGUGAGGCACGUGUGCCUUUUUGUAUGUACUUUAUGAAUAAGGAUCGGCUAACUCCGUGCCAGCAGCCGCGGUAAUACGGAGGAUCCGAGCGUUAUCCGGAUUUAUUUGGUUGAAAGGGAGCGUAGAUGGGUUGUUAAGUCAUUUGUGAACGUUUUCGGCUCCACCGUAAAAUUGCAAUUGAUACUGGCAGCCUUGAGUACAGUUGAGUUAGGCGUCAUUCGUGGUGUAGCGG
rnacentral:rRNA from 1 species